ACAAAAACACAAAAAAAGCCAAC
rnacentral:sRNA from 1 species